rnacentral:rRNA from 1 species
UGGGCGUAAAGCGUGCGUAGGUGGUUUGUUAAGCAAGAUGUGAAAGCCCCGGGCUCCCUCUGGGAACUGCAUUUUGAACUGGCAGGCUAGAGUAUUGUAGAGGGUAGUGGAAUUUCCAGUGUAGCGGUGAAAUGCGUAGAGAUUGGAAGGAACAUCAGUGGCGAAGGCGGCUACCUGGACAAAUACUGACACUGAGGCACGAAAGCGUGGGGAGCAAACAGGAUUAAGAUACCCUGGUAGUCCACGCCGUAAACGAUGUCAACUAGCCGUCUGUGGUCUUGAACCGUGGGUGGCGUAGCUAACGCGCUAAGUUGACCGCCUGGGGAGUACGGCCGCAAGGUUAAAACUCAAAUGAAUUGACGGGGGCCCGCACAAGCGGUGGAGCAUGUGGUUUAAUUCGAUGCAACGCGAAGAACCUUACCAUCCCUUGACAUCCAGAGAAGCGACUAGAGAUAGACGUGUGCCUUCGGGAACUCUGUGACAGGUGCUGCAUGGCUGUCGUCAGCUCGUGUUGUGAAAUGUUGGGUUAAGUCCCGCAACGAGCGCAACCCCUAUCCUUAUUUGCCAGCGCGUAAUGGCGGGAACUCUAAGGAGACUGCCCGUGAUAAACCGGAGGAAGGUGGGGACGACGUCAAGUCAUCAUGGCCCUUACGGGAUGGGCUACACACGUGCUACAAUGGCGUAUACAGAGGGCAGCAAUACCGCGAGGUGGAGCGAAUCCCACAAAGUACGUCGUAGUCCGGAUCGGAGUCUGCAACUCGACUCCGUGAAGUCGGAAUCGCUAGUAAUCGUAGAUCAGAAUGCUACGGUGAAUACGUUCCCGGGCCUUGUACACACCGCCCGUCACACCAUGGGAGUGGGUUGCAAAAGAAGUGGCUAGUUUAACCUUCGGGAGGACGGUCACCCACUUUGUGAUUCAUG